GACGUAGGGGGCGAGCGUUGUCCGGAUUUAUUGGGCGUAAAGCGCGCGUAGGCGGUUCGAUAAGUCGGGGGUGAAAACCCGGGGCUCAACCCCGGGCCGUCCUCCGAUACUGUCGGACUGGAGGCAGGUAGGGGAGAGUGGAAUUCCCGGUGUAGCGGUGAAAUGCGCAGAUAUCGGGAGGAACACCGGUGGCGAAGGCGGCUCUCUGGACCUGUCCUGACGCUCAGGCGCGAAAGCUAGGGGGAGCG
rnacentral:rRNA from 1 species